GUCGGGUACGGCGAUAUGGCUCCGAAAACGUACGUGGGAAUGUUCGUUGGUGCAUUGUGUGCGCUUGCCGGUGUAUUGACGAUCGCCCUGCCCGUGCCCGUUAUCGUCAGUAAC
rfam:Anopheles farauti strain FAR1 unplaced genomic scaffold supercont2.4, whole genome shotgun sequence.